rnacentral:rRNA from 1 species
CCUACGGGAGGCAGCAGUGGGGAAUCUUGCGCAAUGGGCGAAAGCCUGACGCAGCCAUGCCGCGUGAAUGAUGAAGGUCUUAGGAUUGUAAAAAUUCUUUCACCGGGGACGAUAAUGACGGUACCCGGAGAAGAAGCCCCGGCUAACUUCGUGCCAGCAGCCGCGGUAAUACGAAGGGGGCUAGCGUUGCUCGGAAUUACUGGGCGUAAAGGGAGCGUAGGCGGAUAGUUUAGUCAGAGGUGAAAGCCCAGGGCUCAACCUUGGAAUUGCCUUUGAUACUGGCUAUCUUGAGUAUGGGAGAGGUUAGCGGAACUCCGAGUGUAGAGGUGAAAUUCGUAGAUAUUCGGAAGAACACCAGUGGCGAAGGCGGCUAACUGGCCCAUUACUGACGCUGAGGCUCGAAAGCGUGGGGAGCAAACAGGAUUAGAUACCCUGGUAGUCCACGCCGUAAACGAUGAGUGCUAGUUGUCGGCAUGCAUGCAUGUCGGUGACGCGAGCUACGACAUAAGUACACUCCGCCGUCGGGAGGUACGGUCGCGAGAAUUAAACUACGAAAGGAAGUAGACGGCGUGAGACGUCGCCGACGGACGACCGACGAGGGAGGUUAGG